UGGACAGAAGCCCGCUGGAUUGGGUGUUUAGCUGUUAAUUAAAAUUUUACGGGAUCGAGGCCCGUCUGUCUAG
rnacentral:tRNA from 1 species